rnacentral:rRNA from 1 species
AAUCCAAUUUGGGAAUUUAUUUGGAAACCGCCCUGCCCUGCAAAGGUGAGAAUUUUCCUAUGGAGAACACUACAAGGCACCCUGCCCUGCCGUGUCAACCUCGCGGAUAGGCAUCUAAAAUUUACCACAAAAUGUUUGGCAUGUGAAAAUGCGGAAAGUGUGAAGCAUAUGUUGUUCCAAUGCAACAAAGCAAAAUAACUAUGGAGGAAGUUGGGUUUGGAUAGCAUCAUUCAGAGAGGAUGUAUGGUCAAUCGAGCGGGAGAAGCGGUCUUGGAACAUCUCCUAUCUCUUCCCAUGGACGAGACCAUAAUCAUUGGUCAGAGGAAUGGCAACUUGAUCAUAGCUAUCACCUGCUGGUUUCGGUGGUGGGAGAGAAGGAAAUUGGUGCAUGGCGAGCAGACUCAACAACUAUCCCAGAUUGUUAUGUCAGUAUGA